UCUAAUCUGAAUCUUCAAGAUUCAAGAAGCUUCACUACUUCCUUAGCCAAAGAGGCAAUCCUCAUUUACAAACUUUGAUCCAUCUGGUGUGGAGGGGGAAAGAGAGGUGAAGUGCCCUUUGACCUUUUAAAGGAGAGGGGAGCAGCUUCAUAUCUCAUGCUCCUCAGCCGAGCCUGUUUGAUCUGGACUCACCUCAGUUCACAAGUCUCAGCUUCUGGCCCCAACCCGCAAAGGGAGGAAUGUGUAGAGCUGGUAGAGAAGAAUUGCUUCGUUGGCCCAAAACAAUACUGAAAUGUAAGGUUUAUGGCAGCCACGUGAAGACAUACUAGACUUGAAAACAUACCUGAGAUGGGCGAGGUCACCAGCAAAUACUAUGACAUGUGACAGAAUAUCUGCAUGAAGCCGACCUGCAUAGGAAUGACAAAAGGGACCACCAAGAUUAAAUGCAAGGUUUCCAUGGAAACCAGUUGAUGGCUGACUGCACUGACUUUAAAUGCCUGCAUAGACAUUACAGACUGAGUCAGUGGACUAACAGUGUAGGCCUUUCCUCUUUAAGCAUUUUAUAGCUGUCGGGACAGGAAUUUUACUUUACACAGAUUGUUCAUCGAUCCUUGUAGAUGCUGGGAUGACCAAAAAUAUGUCAGGCUCCCUAACCAAAGCCAUAAACUUAUGCUGCAAAUCACUUGAGAAAAUAACAUUGUUGCAGGAGCCCCGAAUUACAUGUACAUAUGAUGCAUACCAAAUGGUUUCACGUCAGUUUGCAUUAAUGCAAAGUUGCUUGUUCAAUUUGGGUAGGAUAAUGAAAGUUAUGUGACUGUCAAACUUUAUGGCAGUCUUUAAUAAGUAAGCAGAUAAUUAUACUUGAAGCGUCCGUGCAAUAACAUAUUUUAGCAAAUGCAUCUGCAAUGAUACCCAGUGCCUAGUAGUGGCUCAUAUGAGUUAUUGUGAUGAAUAUUCACUAUGGAAAGGCAAAUUUGGUUUAUCUUUCUAUUUUACAACCACAGCUUUA